AGAGGAGGGAGACUUUUCCUUUCCAGUGACAUCAGUGCAGAGGAAGAGGCUGCUAUAAUAGUCCCAUGGUGUCUUUAAACUCCUGUGUGUGAGUCUGCUGGAAUCCUAACAGGUCAGCCAAAGGCUAGAGAAGCACUUGUCCUUGUAUCUUCUCUUCUAUUUCUUUCUUCACACAUAUUUCUUCUUUAUUCAUCCAGAAAAAGAGAUAAACAGAGUGAGGAGAGGACACUGAUGAAAGCAUAUGAUUGGGAAAAAGAGGCCAAAAGUGGGGAAGACAGAUAGGAGAAAAGAGAAAGGGAGAAGUAUACAAGACAGUGAUAGAGACGGCACAGUUGUGCCAAAUAUGUGAUUGGUCAGGCUCGAUAAUGAGGGCCUAUACGUUCCAGUAAUUGAUUGGCUGUCUGAUCCCAUUCCAGUCGCUGAUUGGUUGCGAUGCUGUCGCAGUCCAACAGCGGUGUCAUCCAGCGGGCAGGGAGAAUACUCCAAACCAGGAGGUGACCAGGGCGCCAUAAUAUUUCAGGUCAAAGCAUCACGAACCGUCCCACUGUUUACAGAUGUUUCUUUAUUUUUAAAGCAGUUAUUCCAUAACAACAAUGAGGAAGGGCGCCUGAGGUUUAAUGGGGGUUGUUGCAGAGCUCAAUGACUGAACCAAAGCCAGUGAAAGUCAGUUGGCUGUUGAAAGUUUUUAAUGUCAUGUUCAACGAAACUAUACUGGCCCAGAGUUGGAUGUUUUGUAGUCUCUCAUUUGUCUUUCUUGUAUAACAUUUUCAGGAAAAGAAAAUACAAGAAUUGCUCAUGCAAUUAUCUGUUUUUCUUUUCCCUUAAAAAGAAUUUGGAUGGACUCUGGGGACUGAUUUAACAUCAUGUUGUACACCCAGUGGAGCUGUAAAACAAACUCAAGUGUAACACACAUUGGCCAUGUUGCCCUUUAUCUAACACUCAUUCCACAUGAUGGCAUACAUACAUCAAGGUAUGGUAUCCAGGAUGUGCUAAUCCAGGGGACAAACGUGAUAAAAUACUGCUUUUCUGGCAUUCACACAUCCCAAGUUGAUGCACAUCAAUACUUGAUGGCGGUGCAUGUUUCCUUUUGGUGUUUAUUGAGUGUUUGUAGAAGAAAACACAAAUAACUGAACUGAAGUUCUGUAAAAACAGUCUAACAGAGACACUGGCCAUGACUGCACAUCAGUUUCCAUUGGAAAAACAACCAUCAGUGAUAAAUUCUUGCUGAAUAAAUGCCUUUGAAGUGUCCUUAAUAUGGCACCAUAGGACUGUAAGUUCUUGUGACUAAUACCACACAUCCAUAUAGUGUCCACAACUAAGAAUUUAAAUUCUCUGUCCAAGACUCCAGAUCUGUGAGCAUGUUUUUUUCCAGGAAAUUCUUAGACCAGCUGCAGCUGCCAGAUUCAAGACAAGUCACAUUGAGGAAUUCUUAAGGUUUCCCAUUUCUCCUGAACAGAAAUUGUUGUGGAGGUGUUCAUGUUGUUUAACUUGUUUACCUGCAAUUAUACUGUUUUUACACUUCGCAGAGCUUUUCUUUGAAACUGGACUCAUUCGUCAGGGAUGUUGGCUUUGGGUUUUCCCCAGUACUCGUGAAAGAGUUUCAUUUGCCAAGAUGAUUAACAGCUGGCCUGCACGUGGACAGCUAUGUGCUAUGAUCACUUGUGUCUGCACAAACUAACUUGACACAGUUAUUCACAGAAGCGAAGAGAAUCCCAGAAAUGCUGUUUUGAGGGGAGCAGCUUGGGAUAAAUGGUAAGUAGCUAAGCCCUGGUUAGGACUGGUUUGGCCCUGCGGUGGAAACCAUGCUGUUGGGGAGAAUCCAGAAGACACAGUAGGACGCUGGCUUCAGUUGAGAUGAAACUACUGGCAGGAAAAAAGACGGCUAUAAAACACAGAUAUGAAGAUGUCUCCAUGUCUCUGAUGAUUCGUCCAUCUGAGGGCUAAAGCGACGAACGACUGACUUGGAUUCCCCAACUGACUCAAAAGGGCAGCCAAAGGUUACCAGAUGCUACAGUGACGCUAGCUAACACAAAGCUAAGCUGAAGAGGACUGCGCAGCCUGUGAUUGAAAGUCGUGGCAUAACCGGGCGACUUCUCAAUGUUUUCCUGCAAAGCUGCUUGGACUUCUAUCGUAAAAGCUCCCAGUGGCCUCAGUGAGCACAAUCCAAUCUACUUAGUAAGUUCCUGAGAAGCAGUGUUUACCCAGACUGAUGGCAGAGGUGGAUAAAGACCAUUUGACUCCAUUCAGUUUCUUUCAGUCAUCCAGGAGGCUUCUUUUAUGGAUGUCUUGGACACCCAUACCCAAAUAGAUGAAAAGAAGCAUCUUGCACAAAGAGACUAUUCACUAGUAUGUUCGCUGGCUAAAGCUAGUUAGCUCAAAACUGAUACUGGCACCACUGCUCUUUCUAAAAUUGACAAGAAUAGAUGAAAAAGCAUCCUUGGUACUAGGAAACCAAAUGGUGUCUUUAUGUGCUAAUAAUUCUAUCUCAUCUAUUUAAUGCUUUAGAGACCCAGCGUGUAGGAUUUAGUGUCAUCUUGCGGUGGGAACGCAGACUGUAACCCACCAAAUAACCCUCAUCCCUCCUCUUCCAAGCAUGUUGGAGAGGCUACGGUGGCCGUCAGGUGACAAAAUGGCAACUACAGAAUCGACUGAAGAGGUUUGUUUAUAUAGCUAUAUUUAGAAAACGUGUUAAGUUGUUAGUCUGUAAAACUAUGGCAACAGCUUACAUUUACUCUAUCCUCUCUUACUCUUCACUCAACAUAAAAUUACAAAGGGCCCUAUGUGAAGCCACUGUUUGGUUCAGUUUGUCCGUUCUGGGCUACUGUAGAAACAAUUUUUGGUGAUUACAUACCAAUAAAUUCCAUUUCUGCCGAUACAUCCUGUUAAAUGCUACACUGGUCCUUCAAAGACAGUAUUUCUAAAUUAAACAUACAUAUAUAAACUCCAGAUUUAUACAGGUGUGUAUAGAUCUGUACAAACUAUAUAGUUAAACAGAAAUAUCCAAGGUAACUGUAAGUUGCAAUUUUGGCAACACUAUUUGAGUGAAGUGUAAAUACCACACCUAGCACUUAAGAUGACACAAAAAUGUGAGAGACAGGAGUAUCAGGGAUACAGUAUCAUUAUGGCUUACUCCCAGGGCUAUGUUGCAGACUGGCAGUCAGAC